rnacentral:rRNA from 1 species
UACGUAGGGUGCAAGCGUUAAUCGGAAUUACUGGGCGUAAAGCGUGCGCAGGCGGUUAUAUAAGACAGUUGUGAAAUCCCCGGGCUCAACCUGGGAACUGCAUCUGUGACUGUAUAGCUAGAGUACGGUAGAGGGGGAUGGAAUUCCGCGUGUAGCAGUGAAAUGCGUAGAUAUGCGGAGGAACACGAUGGCGAAGGCAAGUCCCUGGUGACCUGUACUGACGCUCAUGCACGAAAGCGUGGGGAGCAAACAGG